UUUUAUUAAAUAAUUAGAUUAAUCUGCUCAAAGAUUUAAGAUGACACUUUUAAAUAACUAAUUUUUUUUCAUAUCGACGCGAUUUGCAGGUACGAAUACUAGUAAUAAAGAACGAGAAAGAGAGUGAUUCUUAUUGAUUGAGGCGAGCUGAUCAAAGAGCCAACAAUAGCUACGAGCAAACUAUGAACAGUGAUUGUGCACCAGUAUUUGUAUAUCAGUAUUUGUUAAUGAGUAUUCAGAUGAUUUACAAUGGUGGGAAGAUGAGUAUUUAUAGGAUAAUAUAAUCGUAACCUACUUCUUGAAUUUUGCACGUUACAGGGAUGGGAUAAGCCGAGGUUGUUUGACGUGAUAAGAUGGAAUCCCGGCUAUCUCGGAGUUUGGCCAUGGUUGGGAAGUUGAUUGCCCGGGCACUUUGGACCCUCGAGACGUAUCGUCUCGGGUCACUGUUAUCCGAUAUGGGCGAAAUAGAUCCGGAACCAAAUUCUCGGAUGGUUAAGAGAUUUCGGUCUUUGGCCAGGUUGUCACCGACAGACUUGAGGUUAACUAUGAGUUUCUUCUGAGCUUUCCACGUGUCCUGUCAAAGAGUCUUCAUCCGGCUAUUAUCUAAUAUCAAUACAAUAUUCUACAUAAUGUGCUCACCUUCAUUUGUUGGAAAGGAACUGUUGGACGUGUUUGUACUUCUUAAAAUUUCUGUAGAAGUAACUAACAAUGUCCCUUCAUGUGCUUAUAGUGUCCUGAUGUCAUCUAUGCAGACAACAUAUUGUUUUAUAAGCUCAUAUAAUCUUUACUUUUCUGAUGGAAAUAUAUAUUCAUGUAUUACCAUGUGACAUACUCAGAAAGGAGAGCGAAAUUAAUCUUAUACAUGCUUGCAUUAGUUCCUUUAAUUGCUGGUAAAAUUGGGUGCAUCUAGCGGUAACAUACUUCUGCCAUUUUUUCUUCUUCUCCGUUUUUGUAAGUUUGCAUAAGAGGCAACAGAUUUAGGAAUUUGUUGAACAGAACAAAGAAGAAAGAUCAGGGGCCAAAGUGUAAAUUCUGGAAAUCAGGAAGUUAGUUACUAACACUUCUUAAAGUUAGUUAAGGAGGCAGUUAGGUUCACAGAUUAGUGAACUGAUUAUAGGUUAGAUUAGAGGGAUUAGUUAGUGAUUUAAUAUCCUAUAUAUAUACAUCAACAUGUAUUGUAAAUACUUACUUCAUCAUAUUAUAUCAAUGAAAGAAGAUAAAAUCCUCUCUCUAAAACUACCUUCUUCCUUCUGUUCUUGUGUUCUUCAAUAUUGAAUAUUAUUCUUCUCUUCAUUCUUCCUAAAUCACAAACUUCAUCAUGGUAUCAGAGCAGUGAGUAAUAACUCAAGUAUAUCCUCAAGAAUAUUGUGUAUAUCAAGU